UAUGGAGGGUGCAAGCGUUGUCCGGAUUUAUUGGGUUUAAAGGGUGCGUAGGCGGCUAAUUAAGUCAGUGGUGAAAGGCAGCAGCUCAACUGUUAGCAUGGCCAUUGAUACUGGUUGGCUUGAGUACAGUCGAGGUAGGCGGAAUUGAAGGUGUAGCGGUGAAAUGCAUAGAUAUCUUCAAGAACACCUAUUGCGAAGGCAGCUUACUAGGCUGUAACUGACGCUGAGGCACGAAAGCUAGGGGAGCGAACGGG
rnacentral:rRNA from 1 species